CAUGGAUGCAUGACAGAGGUCACAUAUCUAUGAUGUAUAUAGUCUGGACAGUUGAAUGUAUGACAGAGGUCACACAUAUAGACUGGACACAUGGAUGUAUGACAGAGGUCACACAUAUAGACUGGACACAUGGAUGCAUGACAGAGGUCACAUAUCUAUGAUGUAUAUAGUCUGGACAGUUGAAUGUAUGACAGAGGUCACACAUAUAGACUGGACACAUGGAUGUAUGACAGAGGUCACACAUACAGGCUGGACACAUGGAUGUAUGACAGAGGUCACACAUAUAGACUGGACACAUGGAUGUAUGACAGAGGUCACACAUAUAGACUGGACACAUUGAUGCAUGACAGAGGUCACAUAUCUAUGAUGUAUAUAGUCUGGACAGUUGAAUGUAUGACAGAGGUCACACAUAUAGACUGGACACAUGGAUGUAUGACAGAGGUCACACAUACAGGCUGGACACAUGGAUGUAUGACAGAGGUCACACAUAUAGACUGGACACAUGGAUGUAUGACAGAGGUCACACAUAUAGACUGGACACAUGGAUGUAUGACAGAGGUCACACAUAUAGACUGGACACAUGGAUGUAUGACAGAGGUCACACAUACAGGCUGGACACAUGGAUGUAUGACAGAGGUCACACAUAUAGACUGGACACAUGGAUGUAUGACAGAGGUCACACAUAUAGACUGGACACAUGGAUGUAUGACAGAGGUCACACAUACAGGCUGGACACAUGGAUGUAUGACAGAGGUCACACAUAUAGACUGGACACAUGGAUGUAUGACAGAGGUCACACAUAUAGACUGGACACAUGGAUGUAUGACAGAGGUCACACAUACAGGCUGGACACAUGGAUGUAUGACAGAGGUCACACAUAUAGACUGGACACAUGGAUGUAUGACAGAGGUCACACGUACAGGCUGGACA